rfam:Apaloderma vittatum contig12026, whole genome shotgun sequence.
GGACUGGUUAGCUCAGUCAGUUGAGUGCAGCGCUAACAACGCUAAGGUCGCGGAUUCGAUUCCCGUUCUGUCCC